UACGUAGGGUGCGAGCGUUGUCCGGAAUUAUUGGGCGUAAAGGGCUCGUAGGCGGUUUGUCGCGUCGGGAGUGAAAUCCACUGGCUUAACUGGUGGCUUGCUUUCGAUACGGGCAGACUGGAGGUAUGCAGGGGAGAACGGAAUUCCUGGUGUAGCGGUGAAAUGCGUAGAGAUCAGGAGGAACACCGGUGGCGAAGGCGGUUCUCUGGGCCUGUACUGACGCUGAGGAACGAAAGCGUGGGGAGCGAACAGG
rnacentral:rRNA from 1 species